CAUGAGGAUGGGUUCUAUGCCACAACCAGUAGUUCCACAGUUUGGUAGCUGAGGUCUCUCAUCAUUUGUGCCUCAAUGUUGCCUAGUUUGGAUGACUUUCUUCACUUACAGAUGAAAUGUUUGCACAGCCUGUAUUUCUCUUCCCUAUUUAGGCUCGUAUUUCCUGUGAAGUUACUUCAAGUUGAUGUAGAUCCCAUGCUCAGUGGGAGGCAGAUCUGGUGGUGUGAAUCCCAAGCAUACCCAGAUGCAGCCUGGGGCAGACAAGUUUUUGACCUUCUCUGCUAGCUUUGCCAUCCUUGACCACACCCUUGUACUCCCUACCCCAGUUAGGACUUUUGUUUUUAACCCAUCUCAUGAGUUCUGUAACUACCUUCUUUCUUUUGAUGUGUGUAAAGACCUUUUUACUACCAGUUUGAGCAUCCUUUGCAAUGUGUUCUUCAAAUUAUUUUCUAGUCCUCAUUUCCUGCCUUGAUGUGACCUGAAGUGUUUAACAGCUUUCUGCUCUCUUUAUUUUGGUCUAGACAAGUUCUGCCCCCUCAUUAUCAAAGGAAUUGCCUUGGACAGAGAUCAUACUAGAGCCUGUAACAAAAGGCUGUCAAACCACAAAUGUUUGUGAGUGUUAAGCACAUAUUUAGGAAAGCUGGUACAUACUGAUGAAUAGCUAUGUCUGUGCAUUUUAAGUUUUGAUAUUAUUUUUUCUGCCUAAUUUAGCAAUGAAAUUUUCCUGGGAUUUGAAUAUAAUUUUUAUUUGCAAUUUCUGUCAUUACUGUUUAAUGAUUAUCCCUGUGUCAAGUGUCAUAAAAUUGUAUCCUACAAACCAUGAUCACGAAUAUCUAAAUACCAGCUGAUAAAAAAUUGACCAAUAUUAUGAAAACUGGCACAGUUAAAUAUAUGGAAGAAAUUAUUUACUAUGAAGGUGAUUUCCCAGAGAAGCUGUGGCUGCCACAUCCCUGGAAGUGUUCAAAGCUGUGUCCAGACUGGAUGGGACUUUGAGCCACCUGGUGUAAUGGGAGGUGUCUCAUGACAGGGGAUUUGGAACUGGAUGAUCUUUAUAAGGUCCCUCCCAAAGCAUUCUAUGAUCCUGUGAUUCAGCUGCUCCAAAUGGUAUCUUUUACAGAGUCAUAUGAUGUAUCACACUAUUAUGGCUUUUUGAAAGACAGUUGUUCUCAGUAAUAUUUUUGUAAAUUCAGUCACCUUUAGUUUCACUAGCAUAUUGCCUAAAAGUUAAAGGAUGAGUGUUGGAACCCUGGUUUCUGAGAAGUUUAGAUUUUCUGUGCUGACAGGCACUGACCCCCAAGAGAACACUGCAGUUGACCUGACGCUGUGGAGAAGACUUCCAAAAUUGAAUGAUGGAACUGGGAUUACAGGAGUAACAUACUGCUACGACCUAGCUAUGACCUUUCCUUUUCCUCCCCUUGUGCCUUCUGCUGCUGAGUACCUAUUCCAGAAGUAAACACAGGAUUUCUCUGUGUGCUGGAUGGGGAAUUCACUGAAUAAAGCUUGCUGGCUAGUCACUCAAUUGGAG